rnacentral:lncRNA from 1 species
CGUGAGAGCGUCGAGAGAUUGAGAGAAGAGAGAUUGAGAGCGAGUACGCGUUUGGGAGAGAACGAAGACGAUGGUCUGUUCUUUGUUUCCAUUUCUUUUUCUUUUUUUAAUUUAUUUUUAAACAAAGAUAAGCAUUGAAACCAUAAAUUUUUUUAUGUUUUUAAACUUCCUAAGUUUUCAUUUUUAACUUCCUAAGUUUAAU